UACGGAGGGGGCCAGCGUUGUUCGGAAUCAUUGGGCGUAAAGGGCGCGUAGGCGGCCGAGCAAGUCGGACGUGAAAUCCCCCGGCUCAACUGGGGAACUGCAUCCGAAACUGCCUGGCUUGAGUCCUGGAGAGGGUAGUGGAAUUCCCAGUGUAGCGGUGAAAUGCGUAGAUACUGGGAGGAACACCGGUGGCGAAGGCGGCUACCUGGACAGGUACUGACGCUGAGGCGCGAAAGCUGGGGGAGCAAACAGG
rnacentral:rRNA from 1 species